GGUUCCAUAAUGUAGCAGUCAGCACGUAUGCUUUACACGCAGAAAGUCCUGGAUUCGUGCCCCAGUGGAGCCA
rfam:Pteropus alecto contig110536, whole genome shotgun sequence.